AUUGAACGCUGGCGGCAUGCCUAACACAUGCAGGUCGAGCGAUUCUCUUCGGAGAAGAGCGGCGGACGGGUGAGUAACGCGUGGGUAACCUGCCCUGUACACACGGAUAACAUACCGAAAGGUAUGCUAAUACGAGAUAAUAUGCUUUUAUCGCAUGAUAGAAGUAUCAAAGCUCCGGCGGUACAGGAUGGACCCGCGUCUGAUUAGCUAGUUGGUAAGGUAACGGCUUACCAAGGCGACGAUCAGUAGCCGACCUGAGAGGGUGAUCGGCCACAUUGGAACUGAGACACGGUCCAAACUCCUACGGGAGGCAGCAGUGGGGAAUAUUGCACAAUGGGCGAAAGCCUGAUGCAGCAACGCCGCGUGAGCGAUGAAGGCCUUCGGGUCGUAAAGCUCUGUCCUCAAGGAAGAUAAUGACGGUACUUGAGGAGGAAGCCCCGGCUAACUACGUGCCAGCCGCCGCCGUAA
rnacentral:rRNA from 1 species